rnacentral:rRNA from 1 species
GACGUAGGAGGCGAGCGUUGUCCGGAUUCAUUGGGCGUAAAGAGCACGCAGGCGGUUUGGCAAGUCGGAUGUGAAAACCCGGAGCUCAAUUCCGGACCUGCAUCCGAAACUGCCCGACUGGAGGUAGGUAGGGGAGAUCGGAAUUCCUGGUGUAGCGGUGAAAUGCGCAGAUAUCAGGAGGAACACCGGUGGCGAAGGCGGAUCUCUGGGCCUUACCUGACGCUCAGGUGCGAAAGCUAGGGGAGCGAACAGG